rnacentral:rRNA from 1 species
UUCGCAAUGCCCGAAAGGGUGACGAUGCGACGCCGCGUGAGCGAAGAAGGCCCUAGGGUUGUAAAGCUCUGUCGAGGGUUAUGAAAUAUAGAUGGGUUAAUACCCCAUCUAUUUGACAAAAGCCCAAAAGGAAGCCACGGCUAACUCUGUGCCAGCAGCCGCGGUAAUACAGAGGUGGCGAGCGUUGUUCGGUAUUAUUGGGCGUAAAGAGCACGUAGGUGGUUUUGUAAGUCAGGUGUGAAAGCCUUUUGUUCAAAGGAAGAACGGCAUCUGAAACUGCAUAUCUUGAGUGUAGGAGGGGAGAGUGGAACUUCUGGUGGAGCGGUGAAAUGCGUAGAUAUCAGAAGGAACGUCGGCGGCGAAAGCGACUCUCUGGCCUAUUACUGACACUGAGGUGCGAAAGUUAGGGGAGCAAACGGGAUUAGAUACCCCGGUAGUCCUAACCGUAAACGAUGGGCACUAAGUAGAGGGGUUUU